GCCCAGGUGGUGGAAUGGUAGACACGAGGGACUUAAAAUCCCUUAGCUUUUGCUGUAUGAGUUCAAAUCUCAUCCUGGGUA
rnacentral:tRNA from 1 species